rnacentral:rRNA from 1 species
UUCCAGACUCCUACGGGAGGCAGCAGUGGGGAAUAUUGCACAAUGGGGGGAACCCUGAUGCAGCGACGCCGCGUGGGUGAAGGAGUAUUUCGGUAUGUAAAGCCCUAUCAGCAGGGAAGAACAAUGACGGUACCUGACUAAGAAGCACCGACUAAAUACGUGCCAGCAGCCGCGGUAAUACGUAUGGUGCAAGCGUUGUCCGGAUUUACUGGGUGUAAAGGGCGUGUAGCCGGGCUGACAAGUCAGAUGUGAAAUCCGGGGGCUCAACCCCCGAACUGCAUUUGAAACUGUUGGUCUUGAGUAUCGGAGAGGCAGGCGGAAUUCCUAGUGUAGCGGUGAAAUGCGUAGAUAUUAGGAGGAACACCAGUGGCGAAGGCGGCCUGCUGGACCGUGACUGACGUUGAGGCUCGAGAGCGUGGGGAGCAAACAGGAUUAGAUACCCCUGUAAG